CAAUCUUACUGAAUAAUGAACUAUUCUAAGCCACCUCAAGAGGAAGUAAACAGAUUUUCAUUUUAUUUUUACAAACUAUAGUAAGUUCAAAUUCAUAUCAAAUUAUUUAUUUCACAAUUAAAAGCUUUUUGCACCCAACUUGCGAAGUAUUCACUCCAACGGCUGACAAUAAGUGUAUGUUAACAAUUGGCUCUUUUUAAACAAAUAUGCCUAUCAACAACAAAAUCAUCUGGUGUCGUAAUUGAUAAAAUAUGCGCAUAGGUUUUUCUUUCCAAAAAGGAAUUCCAUUUUCAGUCCAUGAACUGUCUAGACUUGAUGAAUAAAACUCCGAUUUGAUUAACUGAUAGACUUAGCCGAUUAAAAUUAAUUGAGUAAGAUGAUAAUAAUCAUCACUAGGUAUGCUUCCUAUCUGAUAAAAGUGAAAAGUUUUCAUUGAUUCGUCACUCCCCGUGGCUCCUAUCAGUUUUGAUAGGACUGCGUGAUAUUUUUGGAGAAAACAGCCACGUGCCAUAAUUUCAAACCACCGGUACGACAAAAAUUUUUAGAAUUGACCGAACAUGAAGUUUAGUUCACCAUGUCUCAACUAUAGCCUUUUCUCGCGUCGAGAGCCUUUUGGGUAUAUUUUGCAUUGACAGACCAAUGCAAAUGAUCUUCAAAGCAUCAGUUUAAGUUUUCAGUGAUAAAAUGAGCAUUUUUAGAUUAUCAAGCUUGCCAGUGUAAAAUAAAUUGUAACCUAUGAAGUUGAAAAAACCCCGAAAAGCUUUGGUACCUAAUGAAAGAUUUCAGGAAAAAAGGAGUUCUAAGUUCGUAGUGUUAAACUAACCUUUUUCCCAGUUUUAAUUGACGUGAUUUAAGUGGUUUUGGUUUUGUUUCGUUUGUUUUUUUGUUUUUUUGUUUUUUUUUUGUUUUUUUUUUUCUAAAUGCCGGUGGUGGCAACAACCUACACGCUAAAGACCAUGCUUCAGUCCAGAUUGCUAUUGCUGAUGUCGAUGCCUCUAGACAAAUGACUGAUGCCGUCAAACACCAGCCACUAUCUCUAUGUCUAUCAAUUCCCAUAAUCAUCCCGCCGAUCAAACUCAUUGUAGCCUAGUAAGCGGCUGCGGGCAGUGAAAAGGUAUUAUUGUUCGUAACUGUGAAGUUUUGAUCCUUCUAAGAUGCCGCGGGUUAUGAUCAAAGGAGGUGUUUGGAGAAACACCGAGGAUGAAAUCCUCAAAGCAGCGGUUAUGAAAAAUGGCAAAAACCAGUGGUCCAGAAUAACAUCAAAAUCAGUACAGUCCCGCAAGAAGUGCGGGCAAGGUGUUGACAGCUUGUAAAUAAACCGGAGAUAUUUAUUUAGAUUUUAUAAAAUUUUAUUUAUAAUUUUAAAAUAAUGACAACUACCCAUACAGAGUGCGCAAAAACUUGAAGGAAGUGACAAGUUGAAAAAUGCUGACUGCUUCGCGAGUUUAACUAAUUCCACCAGACAAAGUGUGGUCGGCGCUACACGCAUGUUUGACCCUGUAUGUCUAUGCCCUGCUAAAGCUCUCUAAUAUUUACGUAGCUACCAUUUUGCUUAGAGCAGAUCGCUGUUUGAAAUUUUCUUAUCAUGCCGCAAUCACACGCUGAAUGUGGGAGCUGAAUGUGGCUUGAAUGUGGAAGUCAUCGGCCCGAUGCUUGAAUUUUGCGCGUGACGCGCAAAAUUCAGCAACAAUUCUCAGCGACCAUCGGAUAAUGUCGGACUAGUCUGAACUAUUUGAAUAGAUUUAAUACACAUUUGGAUGAAAAUGAAAUGGUUGCUUAGAUGUAACUCCAAUCUUUCCCUUGACAACAAGGUAUUACUUUAUAAGCAGGCUAUCAGGCCAGUGUGGUCCUACGGCUGCCAGCUCUGGGGGUGUGCGGCUAACUCCAACAUCAAAAUAAUACAGAGGGCCCAGAACUCUGUGCUGCGACGGAUGGUGGGGGCGAGGUGGUUUGUCAGAAAUUCUGACAUCCACCGAGACCUCGGCAUUGAGAGCGUCGUCGGCGCAGUGAUCAGACACACAGCUUCUAGAUACGAAGAACGUCUCUUGGCCCAUCCUAACGAGGAAGCCAUCAGACUCUUGGAUAAUAGUGAGGAACUACGGAGGCUUAGAAGGCGCAAGCCCUUCGAGCUGGCAACCGUAGUUCCCGAUUAAGCCAUUUUAAUCGCAAAAAUCCCCCCAGGCGGUGGCUUAGAAUUAAAGUGUUUAGUUUAAGUUGUAUAUGUUUGUUUAUACUUAGAUAAUCACUGAUAUAGUUAAGGUUUACACACAUUACUGCGUGGUGUGUGUAUACUAGAUCGGCUGCCAUGGGGGUGGGCACCGCGGAGACCAGGAUCUGUAUCGAUUCUGAUGGGCUCUGUGAUGUUCGUCUCCGGACAGCCAAGCUAGAAAAAAGACUCAACAACUGUAUAUUUUUUUAGUCGAUAACCGUUAUUUAUUUUUACAAGUUACAUCUAAAUAUCUUAUUUCUGUAUAGAAGUCGAUAUGUUUAAUAAAAAAAAAAAAUUUGGAUGAAAAUAACUCUUAGUGAAAUUUCAGCUGUUGAGUGCUGACUGUUGGCUGCCACAUUCAACUGCCAAAUUCAGCGUGUGAUUGCGGCAUAUGUUACACGAGCAAGCUGCGAGGCCAUGUAAGAAGGUUUCCGAUUGGCUGUCAUUUCGGCAUGGCAAUGAAGGUCAAGAUACACCAGCAAGUUACAAGCGCUUGUUGAAACGACUGUAUAGUGUCCAGCGACCCACCAAUCAUUGCUAUGACGUCACGAGACACUAAUCGUUGGUCUCUCCGUGUUCUUUCUCCUCCUUCACGGUGACACGUCAUUCCUACACCCCGUAUCUCGGCUCCUUUUCCAUCGAUUUUCGUAAAACUUGAUACCAGUGGGUAUUUUUCAACCAGAAACUUGAAUUUUUAGUCACUUUUUCAAAAUUCGCAAAUCCAAGAUAGUGGAUGUGGCGUAAAAUGAUAUCGCGGCUCCUAUUGCAACAAUAUUCGUGGAACUUUGUACCAGGAGGUAUUUUUCAACCAGCAACUCGAAUUUUCAGUUAAGUUUUUGAAAUUUUAAAAUCCAAGAUUGUGGACGAGGCCCAAAUUGCUAUUUUAGCUUCUGAAAUUGAUAAAUUUAUUUUUGUUAAACUUGGCCCCGUUGUCUCAAGUAGCCUAUGAGUUGUGCUGAAACUCUCUCAUUGGGCCAGAUUAAUGUUCACUUUAUUUGCGGCUGACCGCAAAUCAACCAAACGCAAGCUGUGAUGACAAAAGUUGCUUUGAACUACGAAAAAUAUCGAUAAAUUUAAAUCGAUUUUUUAAAAAAAAUUUUGUCUAUAUCUUGCGUCUUUCCGAUAGUAAUGUUGAAGAUAGGAGAUAAACU